rnacentral:rRNA from 1 species
CUACGGGGGGCUGCAGUGAGGAAUUUUGCGCAAUGGGGGAAACCCUGACGCAGCAACGCCGCGUGAGCGAAGAAGGCCUUCGGGUCGUAAAGCUCUGUCAAGUGGGAAAAAGGUCUUUCGAUUAAUACUCGAUAGGCUUGAUGGUACCACUGGAGGAAGCACCGGCUAACUCCGUGCCAGCAGCCGCGGUAAUACGGAGGGUGCAAGCGUUGUUCGGAAUUACUGGGCGUAAAGGGCGUGCAGGCGGUUUGGCAAGUCAGAUGUGAAAGCCCUGGGCUUAACCCAGGAAGUGCAUUUGAAACUGGCUUUCUUGAGUAUGGGAGAGGGGAGUGGAAUUCCUGGUGUAGAGGUGAAAUUCGUAGAUAUCAGGAGGAACACCCGUGGCGAAGGCGACUCUCUGGACCAAUACUGACGCUGAGACGCGAAAGCGUGGGGAGCAAACAGGAUUAGAUACCCCCGUAGUC